CAGGCCAGCAUCAGUCCGGGCGGUUGGAUAAAUGCCUGCUAAACGUACCUCGCUUCGGGGAGGACUUAUAGGGUAGGAGCAUGCAACCAGCCUGGAUUGAGGUCCGCGCAUCUGCUAGGAUGCUGGCGUAAUGGCUGUAAGCGG
rnacentral:rRNA from 1 species